rnacentral:rRNA from 1 species
CCUACGGGAGGCAGCAGUGAGGAAUAUUGGACAAUGGGCGCAAGCCUGAUCCAGCCAUGCCGCGUGCAGGAAGAAGCAUCUAUGGUGUGUAAACUGCUUUUGUACAGGAAGAAACACUCCCUCGUGAGGGAGCUUGACGGUACUGUAAGAAUAAGGACCGGCUAACUCCGUGCCAGCAGCCGCGGUAAUACGGAGGGUCCGAGCGUUAUCCGGAAUCAUUGGGUUUAAAGGGUCCGUAGGCGGUUUAAUAAGUCAGUGGUGAAAUCUGGUCGCUCAACGAUCAAACGGCCAUUGAUACUGUUAGACUUGAAUUAUAAGGAAGUAACUAGAAUAUGUAGUGUAGCGGUGAAAUGCUUAGAUAUUACAUGGAAUACCAAUUGCGAAGGCAGGUUACUACUUAUGGAUUGACGCUGAUGGACGAAAGCGUGGGGAGCGAACAGGAUUAGAUACCCUGGUAGUCCACGCCGUAAACGAUGGAUACUAGCUGUUCGGAGCAAUCUGAGUGGCUAAGCGAAAGUGAUAAGUAUCCCACCUGGGGAGUACGUUCGCAAGAAUGAAACUCAAAGGAAUUGACGGCNGAGAGAGACGACGACGACGACGAGGGAGGAGG